rnacentral:rRNA from 1 species
UUGGAGGGCAAGUCUGGUGCCAGCAGCCGCGGUAAUUCCAGCCCCAAUAGCGUAUAUUAAAGUUGUUGCAGUUAAAAAGCUCGUAGUUGAAUUUCGGGAUCAGAGUGUCGGUCGUGCCUCGGUACGCACUGGUAUUAUUGGUUCCUACCUUCUGAAGAACCGCGAUGUCAUUAAUUUGGUGUCGUGGGGAAUCAGGACUGUUACUUUGAAAAAAUUAGAGUGUUUAAAGCAGGCUUACGCUUGAAUACACUAGCAUGGAAUAAUGAAAUAGGACGUUUGAUUCUAUUUUGUUGGUUUCUAGGAUUGACGUAAUGAUUAAUAGGGAUAGUUGGGGGCAUUAGUAUUCAAUUGUCAGAGGUGAAAUUCUUGGAUUUAUUGAAGACUAACUACUGCGAAAGCAUUUGCCAAGGAUGUUUUCAUUAAUCAAGAACGAAAGUUAGGGGAUCGAAGACGAUCAGAUACCGUCGUAGUCUUAACCAUAAACUAUGCCGACUAGGGAUCGGAUGAUGUUAAUUUUUUAAUGACUCAUUCGGCGCCUUACGGGAAAC